AUUGAACGCUGGCGGCAUGCCUUACACAUGCAAGUCGAACGGUAACAGGUCUUCGGAUGCUGACGAGUGGCGAACGGGUGAGUAAUACAUCGGAACGUGCCUAGUAGUGGGGGAUAACUACUCGAAAGAGCGGCUAAUACCGCAUGAGAUCUACGGAUGAAAGCAGGGGAUCGCAAGACCUUGUGCUACUCGAGCGGCCGAUGGCAGAUUAGGUAGUUGGUGGGAUAAAAGCUUACCAAGCCGACGAUCUGUAGCUGGUCUGAGAGGACGAUCAGCCACACUGGGACUGAGACACGGCCCAGACUCCUACGGGAGGCAGCAGUGGGGAAUUUUGGACAAUGGGCGAAAGCCUGAUCCAGCAAUGCCGCGUGCAGGAUGAAGGCCUUCGGGUUGUAAACUGCUUUUGUACGGAACGAAAAGCCCCGGGUUAAUACCCUGGGGUCAUGACGGUACCGUAAGAAUAAGCACCGGCUAACUACGUGCCAGCCGCCGCGGUAA
rnacentral:rRNA from 1 species